AGUGGCGAACGGGUGAGUAAUAUAUCGGAACGUGUCCAAUAAUGGGGGAUAACGAGUCGAAAGAUUCGCUAAUACCGCAUACGCCCUACGGGGGAAAGCAGGGGAUCGUAAGACCUUGCGUUAAUGGAGCGGCCGAUAUCUGAUUAGCUUGUUGGUGAGGUAAAGGCUCACCAAGGCGACGAUCAGUAGCUGGUUUGAGAGAACGACCAGCCACACUGGAACUGAGACACGGUCCAGACUCCUACGGGAGGCAGCAGUGGGGAAUUUUGGACAAUGGGGGCAACCCUGAUCCAGCCAUUCCGCGUGAGUGAAGAAGGCCUUCGGGUUGUAAAGCUCUUUCGCAAGGGAAGAAAACUUAUGAUCGAAUAAAUCAUGAGGUUGACGGUACCUUGAUAAGAAGCACCGGCUAACUACGUGCCAGCAGCCGCGGUAAUACGUAGGGUGCGAGCGUUAAUCGGAAUUACUGGGCGUAAAGCGUGCGCAGGCGGUUUUGUAAGUCGGAUGUGAAAUCCCCGGGCUCAACCUGGGAACUGCGUUCGAAACUGCAAGGCUAGAGUGUGUCAGAGGGGGGUAGAAUUCCACGUGUAGCAGUGAAAUGCGUAGAGAUGUGGAGGAAUACCAAUGGCGAAGGCAGCCCCCUGGGAUAACACUGACGCUCAUGCACGAAAGCGUGGGGAGCAAACAGGAUUAGAUACCCUGGUAGUCCACGCCCUAACGAUGUCAACUAGU
rnacentral:rRNA from 1 species